rnacentral:rRNA from 1 species
UACGGAGGGUGCAAGCGUUAAUCGGAAUUACUGGGCGUAAAGGGAGCGUAGGCGGAUACUUAAGUGGGAUGUGAAAUACCUGGGCUUAACUUGGGUGCUGCAUUCCAAACUGGGUGUCUAGAGUGUUGGAGAGGAAAGUGGAAUUCCUAGUGUAGCGGUGAAAUGCGUAGAGAUUAGGAAGAACACCAGUGGCGAAGGCGACUUUCUGGACAAUAACUGACGCUGAGGCUCGAAAGCGUGGGGAGCAAACAGGAUUAGAUACCCUGGUAGUCCACGCCGUAAACGAUGGGUACUAGGUGUAGGAGGUAUCGACUCCUCCUGUGCCGCCGUUAACACAAUAAGUACCCCGCCUGGGGAGUACGGUCGCAAGAUUAAA